AAAAGCCGUGUGAUGGAAGACUAUCAAGCACGGUUUCACGAUAAAGGCUAAUCGUUUGGGCAUAAACCUAAAUUUAUGUUUAAAAUCCAAUUUAUUAU
rnacentral:ncRNA from 1 species